CGGGGCUUGAGCCGCGGAUUACCAGCACGCGCCCUGCAUCCCGGGGGCGGGGAGUGAGGCGGGGCAUCGCGGCUAGCGCCGUUGGCGGGGAACCGGGCGGGGAAUCUCUGUGCUUCCUCAGUCCCCAGGCCCAGCACCUGCAGGGCCGACCAGCUCCAGUCCCAGGUCCAAUCCUGAGUGGCCAAAAGCCGGAAACCCGGAGUUGGAAUUGGAUCUUGCACAAGCUGGACCACCCCUCAGAAUCUAGGAUAGCACCUGGCACACAUGGUGAGCACUCACUUCAUGGCUGUCGGAUAAACAAUGGAGCAAGGAAGGUGGAGAUGGAUGCUUACACAUGGGGAAUUGUAUCAGGAAGGAGUGUAUGUGUGAUUAAAACCUGUUCUACAUAAAUAGAAAAGUUGAUCAUUCAACACAUGGACGGCUAAGACUAUAUGCAGACUAUCCAUUCUCAGGAAGAAAAGGGAAGCAAUCUACCUGACUUCCCCAAAUGGAUUCCGUAUUUUGAUAUGAAUUGUUAUCAUGUGGGAAAUGCGAUGGCCUCCAGGUAUACUACCUCAGAGAUCAGUGAGCAGAAAAGCUCACAGAUCAAAUUAAAAUGCUUGAAUCUCUUAGUUUAUUUAAAUCAAUUUAAAGAGACAGUGAAAAGCAAGAGGAAAGAGAUGGGAUAAGUAAACGCUGUCAAGAGACGGUGCAAAUCUGGUGGAAGAUGCCUGCUACCUAAAGCCUACCUCAUACAAUGUUCAGGGGCCACCAUCCCCCACCUGCCCCAACCUCCACCCCUCUCUGUGAUAUUGACUUUCCUGUGGAUCGUGGUGCUGAAGACGACAGGUUUGAGCAAGGAGACUCAAAGAGGCAAGGUGCCCCACGCCAAUGACACAAACUUGCUCUGUCCGAGAUGCAGGUACAAGCAAGCCUAGCAAAGAGCUGAGCUUUGCCUGUUGGCCUGUGGAGCAACCAUGGGUUUUACUGUGUUUCUUGGACAGAGGACACUUGGGGACAGAAGUGAAUAGCAUGACUAUUUCAUGCUUAUGUAUAUUUUAUGCACUGUAUUUAGUGCCUCUUGGACAUUUAAUGUAUCAAAUAUUUCAUGCUCAGGUGUCUCAUGUAUACUUGGUAGCUAGGAAUGUUAGGUAUCCUGGACUUUCUAUUCCUUUCUGUGUCUAACACAUGUUCUACUUACUACUUAACACAUCUAAUAAAAUCUGCCUAUGUUUUAAAAACUAAGAUUUAUCUAUACUUAACUUGUACUAAAAGCUUUCCCCUGUAUUUCACAAACAUAUUAAUCUUCCUUAAAAGUAUUGAAUACUCCCAAAAACAAAUGUAUAUUCCAACUUUUUAUUUUCA
rnacentral:lncRNA from 1 species